UGGUGGUUUGAUUGGGGAGGAGGAGUGAAUUUUAGGGUUAGGAUUUGUUUGGGGCUAUCCACUUUAAUUUUUUUUAAGUUUAGCAUUUUUUUCUAAGGUCGUGUUUUUUUGUUAAAAUAAUUUGAGUUGUGUUAUAAAACUAAACUCAAAGAAAGACAAGAACAAGAGAAAAUAUGGAGAGGGAGAGAGUUUUCUUAUUG
rnacentral:lncRNA from 1 species